rnacentral:rRNA from 1 species
CCCGCACAAGCGGUGGAGCAUGUGGUUUAAUCGACGCAACGCGCAGAACCUUACCUGGGCUUGACAUCCCGAUCGCACCUUUUGGAAACUUAAGGGUCAGUUCGGCUGGAUCGGUGACAGGUGCUGCAUGGCUGUCGUCAGCUCGUGUCGUGAGAUGUUGGGUUAAGUCCCGCAACGAGCGCAACCCUCGUCCUUAGUUGCCAGCAUUAAGUUGGGCACUCUAAGGAGACUGCCGGUGUUAAACCGGAGGAAGGCGGGGAUGACGUCAAGUCCUCAUGGCCCUUAUGUCCAGGGCUACACACGUGCUACAAUGGCCGGUACAAAGGGUAGCAAGACCGCGAGGUGGAGCCAACCCCAAAAAGCCGGUCUCAGUUCGGAUUGGAGUCUGCAACUCGACUCCAUGAAGUUGGAAUCGCUAGUAAUCGUGGAUCAGCAUGCCACGGUGAAUACGUUCCCGGGCCUU